AGAGCGAACGCUGGCGGCAGGCCUAACACAUGCAAGUCGAGCGCCCGUAGCAAUACGGGAGCGGCAGACGGGAUAGUAACACGUGGGAACGCGCCCUUCGGUUCGGAAUAACUCAGGGAAACUUGAGCUAAUACCGAAUACGCCCUUACGGGGAAAGAUUUAUUGCCGAAGGAACGGCCCGCGUCCGAUUAGCUAGUUGGUGAGGUAAUGGCUCACCAAGGCUACGAUCGGUAGCUGGUCUGAGAGGAUGACCAGCAUCACUGGGACUGAGACACGGCCCAGACUCCUACGGGAGGCAGCAGUGGGGAAUAUGGACAAUGGGCGCAAGCCUGAUCCAGCCAUGCCGCGUGGAUGAUGAAGGCCUUAGGGUUGUAAAGUCCUUUUAACGGGAGAUAAUGACGGUACCCGUAGAAUAAGCCCCGGCUAACGUUCGUGCCAGCAGCCGC
rnacentral:rRNA from 1 species